AUAAACGGACAGCCCUAAUCUCCCAAGAUUCAGAGACGCGUUACUGUUCUUCUUCUCCAAAACACCCGAAUCCACUCCCAAACAAUUGCCAAAAUUCAGGCGAGUGAGCCCCAAUCUCACCUCACACGUUCCCCCUCUCUCCCUGUCACCAUAUUUCUAACCGUUUCUGACAGAUUCCCUUUUCCCUCACAUGCUUCUUUGAUUAAUCUCAGAUUUUUCACCCUCCAAAUGAAAAUAAGGAAAAAUAGGGAGCGUUAGAUUGGAUUUGAACUAAUCUACUCCCUCCAUUUGUCCCUCUUUCAUAAAAAACGGGGUGAGAAAUCUGUUUUAGGAGGAGGAUUUUCGUUUUGGGGAUUUCUUGGAGAUAAAGGGAGAAGGUUCGAGAAGCCUGGAGGUAUAUAUAAGGUGAGGUCAUUUCUUGUGUAAGGGGGAUUUUUUGGAGAGGAUUUUCGGAGAGAGCUUUCGGAGAAUUUUUCAGAAAAAAAUUGCUCGAGACAUAGGAAAUUUCAAGAGGGUCUUCUUUUGAACCUCUGUUUCUCGUUUUUUUGGAUUUUCCAUUUUGUUUAAUUUCGUUUCUUUAAAUUUCAGAAUCAGAAAAAGAAAUAAAAUAUAUAGGUAGUUCAGUCAUCUUCAGUUUGAUUUUUGAAUUUUGGUUUCAACAUGGAAAUUGAUUAAGCCGAAAAUCAAGUUCGACAUUUGAAGUUGGGUCACUGAUUUGAUUUUUUUUUGUCCUCUGUUGUUGCUUCGAAUAUCCAUUGCUGGACUUUGCUGGGUUUAAGCGAAGAGUUUCACAACUUCAGACAAUAUGUUCUGAUUUCUGUUUCAAAUAAUUGGUAACCUCGAGUCUUGUGAGCAAACUCAUUUGCUUCUCGAUCUUUCCAUUUGCUUAAGAAGCGCAGGAUGAUAAUCUCCAACAAGGAAAUUGGAUCUUUGGGCACUGCUCUGUAUAGUACUGACUAGUCUAAAGUUGAUGCACAUAAUUUACUUCCUAAUUUGACAUCAUUUGAGUUCUUUGAUGUGCUUAUUUAUGCCUAGUCUAUUUGUUAGUCUAAUUCGUUUGAUAAACACUAAGAUAUAAGUUUGUCUAUUUAUUUUGUUCCGUAAGUAUAUUUGUUGGUUGAGAGUAUUUGUAUAGAACCAAAAUGAAGAAUUGAAGUAGGAAGAUUUUUAUACAGAAGGUAAUUUUAUUUUCUCAUAUGUAUAGCAUAAUCUGUCAGUAGCAGGCAGGUCCUUUCUUUGGUAUUGACAUACUGAAGAGAAGUACCAAUCUACUAUCUGCUCUUCAUUUACUUUUGCAAUGAAGUUUUGAUUUUCUGUUGAA